GACGAACGCUGGCGGCGUGCUUAACACAUGCAAGUCGAACGGAAAGGCCCUGCUUUUGUGGGGUGCUCGAGUGGCGAACGGGUGAGUAACACGUGAGUAACCUGCCCUUGACUUUGGGAUAACUUCAGGAAACUGGGGCUAAUACCGGAUAGGAGCUCCUGCUGCAUGGUGGUGGUAGGAAAGUUACGGCGGUUGGGGAUGGACUCGCGGCUUAUCAGCUUGUUGGUGGGGUAGUGGCUUACCAAGGCUUCGACGGGUAGCCGGCCUGAGAGGGUGACCGGCCACAUUGGGACUGAGAUACGGCCCAGACUGCUACGGGAGGCAGAAGUGGGGAAUAUUGCACAAUGGGCGGAAGCCUGAUGAAGCAACGCCGCGUGCGGGAUGACGGCCUUCGGGUUGUAAACCGCUUUCGCCUGUGACGAAGCGUGAGUGACGGUAAUGGGUAAAGAAGCACCGGCUAACUACGUG
rnacentral:rRNA from 1 species